AGUCCCCUGGUGUAGUGGUCAAAUACCUUUAACAGCUAUGUUAAGGUAGGCAAAUCAUAUCGGCCUUUGGAGCCGGUGACCCAGGUUCGAAUCCUGGGGGGACUA
rnacentral:tRNA from 1 species